rnacentral:rRNA from 1 species
GAUGAACGCUAGCGGGAGGCUUAACACAUGCAAGUCGAGGGGCAGCAUAGGGUAGCAAUACUCUGAUGGCGACCGGCAAACGGGUGAGUAACGCGUAUGCAACCUACCCUGUACAGGGGGAUAACCCGGAGAAAUUCGGACUAAUAUCCCGUAAUAAUAUCCGGAGGCAUCUUUGGAUAUUUAAAGUUCCGACGGUACGGGAUGGGCAUGCGUAACAUUAACUGGUUGGUAAGGUAACGGCUUACCAAGGCUAUGAUGUUUAGGGGUCCUGAGAGGGUGGUCCCCCACACUGGUACUGAGACACGGACCAGACUCCUACGGGAGGCAGCAGUGAGGAAUAUUGGUCAAUGGGCGCAAGCCUGAACCAGCCAUCCCGCGUGCAGGAAGACGGCCCUAUGGGUUGUAAAACUGCUUUUCCAGGGAGAGAAACUUACGCACGUGUUGCGUGACUGACGGUACCCUGGGAAUAAGCAUCGGCUAACUCCGUGCCAGCAGCCGCGGUAAACCGAGAGUA